rnacentral:misc_RNA from 1 species
AAGGAGUCUAACAUAUCUGCGAGUAUGUGGGUCUAAAACCCGAGUGCGCAAUGAAAGUGAACGUAUGAGCAACGCGCAAGCUUCAGCUUCGACCGAUCUGGAUCUUUAGUGAUGGAUUUGAGUAAGAGCAUAUAUGUUGGGACCCGAAAGAUGGUGAACUAUGCCUGAAUAGGGCGAAGCCAGGGGAAACUCUGGUGGAGGCUCGUAGCGAUUCUGACGUGCAAAUCGAUCGUCAAAUUUGGGUAUAGGGGCGAAAGACUAAUCGAACCAUCUAGUAGCUGGUUCCUGC